UUCCAGACUCCUACGGGAGGCAGCAGUGGGGAAUAUUGCACAAUGGGGGAAACCCUGAUGCAGCGACGCCGCGUGAGCGAUGAAGUAUUUCGGUAUGUAAAGCUCUAUCAGCAGGGAAGAAAAUGACGGUACCUGACUAAGAAGCCCCGGCUAACUACGUGCCAGCAGCCGCGGUAAUACGUAGGGGGCAAGCGUUAUCCGGAUUUACUGGGUGUAAAGGGAGCGUAGACGGCUGUGCAAGCCAGAUGUGAAAGCCCGGGGCUCAACCCCGGGACUGCAUUUGGAACUGUGUGGCUGGAGUGUCGGAGAGGCAGGCGGAAUUCCUAGUGUAGCGGUGAAAUGCGUAGAUAUUAGGAGGAACACCAGUGGCGAAGGCGGCCUGCUGGACGAUGACUGACGUCGAGGCUCGAAAGCGUGGGGAGCAAACAGGAUUAGAUACCCUCGUAUU
rnacentral:rRNA from 1 species